CCUACGAGUGGCAGCAGUGAGGAAUAUUGGUCAAUGGUCGAGAGUCUGAAUCAGCCAAGUAGCGUGAAGGAUGACGGUCCUAUGGGUUGUAAACUUCUUUUAUAUGGGAAUAAAACAGGGUAUGCAUACACUCUUGUAUGUACCAUAUGAAUAAGGAUCGGCUAACUCCGUGCCAGCAGCCGCGGUAAUACGGAGGUGCCGAGCGUUAUCCGUCUUUAUUGGGUUUAAAGGGGGCUGAGGAGGAUGGUUAAGUCAGAUGUGAAAGUUUGCGGCUCAACUACAAAAUGGCAGUUGAAACUGGCAGUCUUGAGUAAGGUAGAGGUACGCGGAAUUCGUGGUGUAGCGGUGAAAGGCGUAGAUAUCACGAAGAACUCCGAUUGCGAAGGCAGCUUACUGGA
rnacentral:rRNA from 1 species